UAGCAUCGUUUUUUUUUUAUCUGGGGGCUUGGAGAAGGCGUCUCUGUUCUCGUCUUUGAGUUUCAAAGUCUAAUCCUAACCCUAGAAUUCAGCCAUGUCUUCCAAGCAAGGUGGAAAAUUGAAGCCCUUGAAGCAGCCCAAGAGUGGCAAGAAAGACUACGAUGAGCAUGAUCUAGAAAACAUGCAGAAGAAGAAGGAAGAGGAGAAGGCUCUUAAAGAGCUCAGGGCCAAGGCUCAGAAGGGAGCAAUUGGAGGAGCCGGGCUUAAGAAGAGCGGAAAGAAAUGAGAGUAACACUCUUCUUCGUCGUCGCCGUUCUUAGUAAUUCUUGAUGGGCGCCUCUUGAGUUACACACUGUCUAUCUAUAUCUAUCCCUCCUUGUUGGAGAUGUAAUAUCUCAUGCUACUUUGAUUUGUGAUUGUGCUUGCAUCAACAUUUGGUUAAGCCAUAAAUGCCAUGUUGUUGAAGUGGGAAUAAAUCUAGGGUGUGUCCUUGUCUGGCAUUCAAUCUUCAGUUCGAUGUUUUGUCUC